GUCAGAGCUGUGGCAACUGAUAUUUAAUGUGGAUAAGUGCAAUAUAAUGCAUAUUGGGCAUAAAAACCCAAGGGCUGGGUAUCGACUAUUUGAUACUCUACUAACCUCAACAUCUGAGGAAAGGGAUUUAGGAGUAAUUAUUUCAGAUUGCUUAAAGGUAGGCAGACAAUGUAAUAGAGCAGCAUGACUUGCUAGCAGAAUGCUUAGUUGUAUAGGGAGAGG